rnacentral:rRNA from 1 species
GACGAACGCUGGCGGCGUGCUUAACACAUGCAAGUCGAACGGAAAGGCCCUGCUUUUGUGGGUGGUUGGAUGGGCAACGGGGGGAGUAACACUUGGUUAACCGCCCCUGGACUUUGGAAUAACUUCAGGAAAUGGGGGCUAAUACCGGUAAGGGCCUCCGGUGGCAGGGGGGGGGUGGGAAGGUUUCGGCGGUUGGGGAUGGACUCGCGGCUUAUCAGCUUGUUGGUGGGGUAGUGGCUUACCAAGGCUUUGACGGGUAGCCGGCCUGAGAGGGUGACCGGCCACAUUGGGACUGAGAUACGGCCCAGACUCCUACGGGAGGCAGCAGUGGGGAAUAUUGCACAAUGGGCGGAAGCCUGAUGCAGCAACGCCGCGUGCGGGAUGACGGCCUUCGGGUUGUAAACCGCUUUCGCCUGUAACGAAGCGUGAGUGACGGUAAUGGGUAAAGAAGCACCGGCUAACUACGUG